rnacentral:tRNA from 1 species
GCCCCGAUGGCACAGUUGGAUAGCGCGGCCGCCUCCUAAGCGGCAGGUCGAAGGUUCGAGUCCUUCUCGGGGCGCCA